rnacentral:rRNA from 1 species
UACGUAGGGACCAAGCGUUGUUCGGAUUUACUGGGCGUAAAGGGCGCGUAGGUGGCGCGGGAAGUCAACGGUGAAAGUUCAGGGCUCAACCCUGAAUCGGCCGUCGAUACUCCCGGGCUUGAGCACUGUAGAGGCAGAUGGAAUUCCGGGUGUAGCGGUGGAAUGCGUAGAGAUCCGGAAGAACACCGGUGGCGAAGGCGGUCUGCUGGGCAGUUGCUGACACUGCUGCGCGACAGCGUGGGGAGCAAACAGG